rnacentral:snoRNA from 1 species
AGGGAUGAUGAGUCUGGAGCCCCCUGAGCGGUGAGGAGGUUUCGCGGGGCUGACCG